UACGUAGGUGGCAAGCGUUGUCCGGAUUUACUGGGCGUAAAGAGCGCGCAGGCGGUCGUUCAAGUCGCGUGUGAAAGCCCCCGGCUCAACUGGGGAGGGUCACGCGAUACUGAUCGACUCGAAGGCAGGAGAGGGUAGUGGAAUUCCUGGUGUAGCGGUGGAAUGCGCAGAUAUCAGGAGGAACACCGGUGGCGAAGGCGGGUCUCUGGGCCGACAUUGACGCUGAGGAGCGAAAGCGUGGGGAGCGAACAGG
rnacentral:rRNA from 1 species